CCUACGGGAGGCAGCAGUGAGGAAUAUUGGUCAAUGGGCGCGAGCCUGCACCAGCCAAGUAGCGUGAAUGAUGACUGCCCUACGGGUUGUACACUUCUUUUAUAAAGGAAUAAAGUGAGUCACGUUUGCCUGUUUGUAUGUACUUUAUGAAUAAGGAUCGGCUAACUCCGUGCCAGCAGCCGCGGUAAUACGUAGGCUCCGAGCGUUAUCCGGAUGUAUUGGGUUUACAGUGAGCGUAGAUGGGUUGUUAAGUCAGUUGUGAAAGUUUGGGGCUCAACCGUGAAAUUGCAAUUGAUACUGGCAGUCUUGAGUACAGUUGAGGGAGGCGGAAUUCGUGGUGUAGCGGUGAAAUGCGUAGAUAUCACGAAGAACUCCGAUGGCGAAGGCAGCUUACUAAACUGCCACUGACAUUGAUGCUCGAAAGUGUGGGUAUCAAACAGGAUUAGAUACCCUUGAAGUC
rnacentral:rRNA from 1 species